rnacentral:lncRNA from 10 species
ACAAAUACUUUAUUUUAUUGAUUAUAGUGAAAUGCCUCAAAAAAUUCCAUUUUAGUCUUUGUAAAGUCCUACAGUUUAGAUACACAAACCCAUGCAUGUCUGCUUAGGCAGAAGGAGCAGGGAAUUACUAUUUGUUGAAUGCCUAUUAGGUGCUGUAUUGGUUCUUGUACUGCUAUAAAGAAUACCUGAGGCUGGGCAAUUUAUAAAGAAAAGAGGUUUAAUUGGCUCAUAGUUCCACAGGCUGUACAGGAGGCAUGGCAGGGGAGGCCUCAGGAAACUUACAAUCAUGGCAGAAGGUGAACAGGAAGCAGGCACAUUGAACAUUGCUGGAGCAGGAGGAAAAGUGGGGUGGGGAGGUGCCACACACUUUUAGACAACCAGAUCUCACGAGAACUCUAUCAUGAGAACAGCUCUAGGGAGACAGUGAUAAACCAUUAGAAACCACCCCCAUGAUUCAAUCACCUCCCACCAGGUCCCACCUCCAACAUAACAGAUUACAUUUCAACAUGAGAUUUGGAUGGGGAUACAGAUCCAAACCAUAUCCGGUGCCAAGCAAUAUAUACACAUUAUUUCAUUGUCAGAGGUAUUGUGGGAUAUUGCUAUAAUCCCCACUUUAUAGCUGAGGAAACUUAGGUUAAGAAUUGUCACAUAACUUGUGUAAGGCCUUAUCAACUGGCCUGUGACAUCAACUUUUUAGACGACAACCAGACAGCAACUUGAGGGCCUGCGGGUAGUCUGACCCAGGAACUUGAGCUACUGAUUUGGAACUACAGGAAUUUGCUUCUUGGCCAGAAAACUUAGAUAUCAAAGGGACCAGGGAUAUUUGGCCAGGCUAAGAUAAGAUUUAGAGGAAUCAUUCAACCAGGAAAUAUGGUAAGAUAGUCCAGGUGACAACUCAGGAAAGAAUUGCCACUUCGAAGCCGGAACACAAAACCCUCUCCCUGAAGUUCUAUCUUUGAAAACUUCACCUCUUUUGAAGCACCCUCCAAGGGAAAGGAGCCAAGGGCUGCUCCUGUUCUAAGUUUUAUCUUCUAACCUCAGCUUCCACUCAGUCACCUCAUUAGAACAAUGGAAUGUGGUGAAACUGUAAGCACAGAAUGAUGAAGGUGGGAGUGCCGUCAGGAGGAACACCACGCUGUGAUUUCCAACAAUGUAGAAAAAGAAGCUAACAUUCUCAAGACUUUGUGGAAAGAUUAAGGAGACAGCUUUCUAGGGGGAAGAAAUGCAAUAAUUCCUCUAACAGAUGUGUUUGCCUCAAAAUAGAAACAAAUUGUAUUGUAUAAUGCGAAAAUGCUUUCAAAUAUUUGUACAAAAAAAGUGAGGUGGUAAAUAACAGACUUUGCUAUUCUUCUGUCUUUACUCAAAGAUCUCUAAAUUCCACUAAAGUUAUGUUUUCCACUGUAGAGGGCAGAGCUAUGGCCAGACAAGGCUCCUUCUGCAUUCAAAUUGAAAAGUGGUGAGAACUGUGCUUAUUUCUGCAGCUGGUGCUAAUAUCAGUCCAUAGACUUAGGUGUUCAAGAAAUGCAAAAAUUUGAGUUUUAUAACUCAAAAUCUACCAUAGUCUUCAUUCUUCCAGGUGAAAGAAACUUAAUCUCAGCCUAUUUAGGGUUUCUGUUUUUCCUAAGAGUUAUAUCUUUGUACCAGGAAUACCAAAAGGCUGGGGUGGGAGUGCACACGACAGACAGUAUCCGGACAUCUGUCCCUAUCCAUCCACACUGCCAUCCACUGAGGUAGACUUUGGUCUGCAUGAUGACUCAUUCCAGUCUGCAAGGUCCUUUCCUAUCCAGUGGUUUUCUUACACUCUUGUAGGUGCACAGGAAACAUUUUGUGGCUUCCAAGCCACACCAGGUCCAGGAAAGCAACCCCGUGCUUCUAAGACCCUAUCUGCUUCCAUGCAGUUUGGGGGCCUAUGAAGUUAUUCCAUUGCCCUGUGCUAUGCAGGGCUGCAAUAGCCUCUGCUGUUCAGGCCCUUUAGCCAGGACCAACCACACUGCCCCUUCUCCAUGGAUAUUUUCCCUCCCUUCUGGGGACUCACUUGGGAAAGCACUUCUAGUACCCUCACUGUCUUACCCUAAUCUUCCAAAUCUAUCUUGAGAUUCUCUUGCUCUCCUCUCCCUCUCAGGACCACACAUUUAAAACUCCAAAACCAAGCGGAUAAUCUGUGACUGGAAGGAGAGAGGGAGGUCACGGGGUAGCAGAAAGUAUGAGGGGGAAGGACCAGGUAGGUCUUGUCUCAAAAUGGCACUCACAGUUUUCUGUUUUGUUGUUGAGUCUAAAUGAUCCUCUCUCCCCAAAACAAACAAAAAAUAUGUUUUUUAAAAUUUAAAGACAUAUUUCAAACUGUUUAUAGCCCAAUUCAUUUAGCUUUGAUGAUCUCUCCUAUUUCUGACAGUUACAAAUGCAAAUGUUCUCUUUGGGAAAUCAAAUGUUACUUUGAGUUCCUGGGAUGUUUAUGCAGAGCUAUCAGAGAGGGAGGCAGUUUAUGACAUGGGAACCCAAACUUAGCCAGGGGUAGGGGGGCACAUUUUCCUCACACUCUAAGACAGGGCUAAUAGCUAUAAUUUCACCUGCAUUCCUGGAUAGCAGCCCUUUCUUGCCCCAGGCUCUGGCACGAUGCCUCCCAAGAUAAGGGUCUGAUAACAGACCUGGCUAUACAGGAAAGCAAAGUAGGUCAUCCUAGUUAAGUGAUUUGAGGGCAAUUACCUUCCAUUUGAGGAUGCUGCCUGCUCCAGGCAUCUUCUU